GAUGAACGCUGGCGGCGUGCUUAACACAUGCAAGUCGAACGGAGUUCUGAUGUGUGAAGCGAAGUAGCUUGCUACGGAGUGGAACUUUUCAGAACUUAGUGGCGGACGGGUGAGUAACGCGUGGGUAACCUGCCUCAUACAGGGGGAUAACAGUUAGAAAUGACUGCUAACACCGCAUAACAUGGCGAGACCGCAUGACACAGUGUGAAAAACUCCGGUGGUGUGAGAUGGACCCGCGUCUGAUUAGCUAGUUGGUGGGGUAACGGCCUACCAAGGCGACGAUCAGUAGCCGGCCUGAGAGGGUGAACGGCCACAUUGGGACUGAGACACGGCCCAAAAUCCUACGGGAGCAGCAGUGGGAAUAUUGCACAAUGGGGGAAACCCUGAUGCAGCGACGCCGCGUGAGUGAAGAAGUAUUUCGGUAUGUAAAGCUCUAUCAGCAGGGAAGAAAAUGACGGUACCUGACUAAGAAGCUCCGGCUAAAUACGUG
rnacentral:rRNA from 1 species